rnacentral:rRNA from 1 species
CAGCCGCCGCGGGAAAACGUAGGGUGCGAGCGUUGUCCGGAGUUAUUGGGCGUAAAGAGCUCGUAGGCGGUCCGUCGCGUCGAAUGUGAAAACCCGGGGCUCAACUCCGGGCUUGCAUUCGAUACGGGCGGACUAGAGUUCGGUAGGGGAGACUGGAAUUCCUGGUGUAGCGGUGAAAUGCGCAGAUAUCAGGAGGAACACCGGUGGCGAAGGCGGGUCACUGGGCCGAUACUGACGCUGAGGAGCGAAAGCGUGGGGAGCGAACAGGAUUAGAUACCCCGGUAGUCCCUGUCUCUUAUAC